AUGGCAAUCUCAAAGAUGUAUUUAGUUGGUAUUAUAUCAAUAUUACUCAUUUCUUUGGCCAUAGGUGAAAACCUUUUAAAUUACCGCUACAAAAGGCUUGUUCCUUCCGGUCCAGACCCAAUAGAAUCACCGCCAUCACCAAAUAAACCUCUAACACAAAAUUUUAAAGUUAGUUAUGAUAUCAAAAGACUUGUUCCUUCAGGUCCAGACCCAAUAGAAUCACCCUCAUCACCAAUUAAAUCUCAAACAAAAAAUUCAGAAUUCAACUACGAAAUUAAAAGACUUCUUCCAUCAGGUCCUGACCCAAUAGAAUCACCACCUUCACCAAAUAUACCUUCAACAUAG
rnacentral:lncRNA from 1 species